GACGAACGCUGGCGGCGUGCUUAACACAUGCAAGUCGAACGGAAAGGCCCUGCUUUUGUGGGGUGCUCGAGUGGCGAACGGGUGAGUAACACGUGAGUAACCUGCCCUUGACUUUGGGAUAACUUCAGGAAACUGGGGCUAAUACCGGAUAGGAGCUCCUGCUGCAUGGGGGGGGUUGGAAAGUUUCGGCGGUUGGGGAUGGACUCGCGGCUUAUCAGCUUGUUGGUGGGGUAGUGGCUUACCAAGGCUUUGACGGGUAGCCGGCCUGAGAGGGUGACCGGCCACAUUAGGACUGAGAUACGGCCCAGACUCCUACGGGAGGCAGCAGUGGGGAAUAUUGCACAAUGGGCGGAAGCCUGAUGCAGCAACGCCGCGUGCGGGAUGACGGCCUUCGGGUUGUAAACCGCUUUCGCCUGUGACGAAGCGUGAGUGACGGUAAUGGGUAAAGAAGCACCGGCUAACUACGUG
rnacentral:rRNA from 1 species